rnacentral:rRNA from 1 species
UACGUAGGGUGCGAGCGUUGUCCGGAAUUAUUGGGCGUAAAGAGCUCGUAGGCGGUGUGUCGCGUCGGUCGUGAAAACUUGGGGCUUAACCCUGAGCUUGCGGUCGAUACGGGCAUCACUGGAGUUCGGCAGGGGAGACUGGAAUUCCUGGUGUAGCGGUGAAAUGCGCAGAUAUCAGGAGGAGCACCGGUGGCGAAGGCGGGUCUCUGGGCCGAUACUGACGCUGAGGAGCGAAAGCGUGGGGAGCGAACAGG